CGUUAUUUUUAUUUAUACAGUAUGUCAUCAUCAGGGCUCCGUAGGGUUCAGCAGAAGAGCUGUCCGGAUACUUUUGUACACAGUGUCCGUGUGAUGCCGCUCCCAGCCGCUAGGGGCAGUGUGCACUACGCCAUUCUGCCAGCCUCAGUUUCUGCAGGCGAGCUGAAUGUAAACAGUGUUUUCUGUGCGGACUCGAGCCGCUGAGGCACUGAGGGGCUCUGAUGGACGUUGUGCAGGAAUUGAUCACCGUGUUUGUGGAGAUAAUUCUGUCACUCUCAGCGCUGCACGCCUCAGUUCACCUCUUCAAGGACCACAGGGCUCCGUCGGUGGGGUUCUUCCUCGUUGCGUGUUCCUCUGCUCUGGCGGUUCUCCCUCUUUCCAGCCUGUCUCUUGAUGCAGCCCAGAAGGAUCUAGAAUGGGUCGCAGAGUCUCUCGGGCCGGUUCUGUCUGCGUUUCGGCUUCCUGUGGCUCAGUGAAGACCACUCCACCGCCCACGUGCUUCUCAUUGGCUCCACCCUCCUCCCUCUGCUUGCUGAUUGGCUGUCGGCGGACGGGUUGGUGGUCAUGUCUCGCUGCGUAGGCUUAUCGGCGCUGUCCUGUUCGCUGACGGUGUGCCUGUUUGCCGGAAACGCAGCCGGAGUGUUGGGAAGCGUGGCCCUCAGCCUGCCCAUUCUAGUGGCCCCCAGGGUCAGAGGGGCCGCCAUGGGCUCUGUCACAUCUCCACAGGCUGCAGUGGGGCUACUGCGGUGGAUCCUGAAAGCCGUCAUGGCUGUUGGCUGCUGGACAACAAAGAUGGCUCUGAAUAAAUUCCUCCAGGAUCUGAAAGGCUGGGAUUAAAGCGACAGUUCAGAAAAAUCUAAUUUACACAGUUUUCCCUUUUACUCAGGAUGUAGUCGAUCGGCUUCUUUAGCACUAUUAAUGUAUCUAAUGCCCACCAGUUAGCAUGGUGCUAACUGCGUGCCUAAAAUCAUCACAGACUGUUUCGAUUUUCUGCAUAAUUCAGUGUGUGAGGUGUAAUCAGAGUGAUUCAGAGUGGUUUGGUGUGAAAUGGUUCAGAUGUCUUUACAGUGGUGGUGAUAGGAACCAGGGGUCGCCAUGACUACAACACUAAUAUAGACAUUUUAUUUACUAUCCAGAACCACCAGUG